rnacentral:rRNA from 1 species
UUGUCUUUUAAAUGAAGACCCGUAUGAAUGGCACAACGAGGGCUUAACUGUCUCCUUUUUCCAGUCAAUGAAAUUGAUCUUCCCGUGCAGAAGCGGGAAUAUUUACAUAAGACGAGAAGACCCUGUGGAGCUUUAGACACCAGAACAGACUAUGUUAAAUACUUUCUACCACAAAAGAUUAAAACCUAUUAACCCCUGUUCUAAUGUCUUUGGUUGGGGCGACCGCGGGGAAACAAAAAACCCCCACGUGGACCGGGAGCACUAUACUCCUAAAACCCAGAGUCACAACUCAAAGCAACAGAACUUCUGACCAAUAAUGAUCCGGCAUCAGCCGAUCAACGGACCAAGUUACCCUAGGGAUAACAGCGCAAUCCUCUUUUAGAGCCCAUAUCGACAAGGGGGUUUACGACCUCGAUGUUGGAUCAGGACAUCCUAAU